UACGGAGGGAGCUAGCGUUGUUCGGAAUUACUGGGCGUAAAGCGCGCGUAGGCGGCUAUCCAAGUCAGAGGUGAAAUCCCAGGGCUCAACCCUGGAACUGCCUUUGAAACUAGGUAGCUAGAAUACUGGAGAGGUGAGUGGAAUUCCGAGUGUAGAGGUGAAAUUCGUAGAUAUUCGGAAGAACACCAGUGGCGAAGGCGACUCACUGGACAGUUAUUGACGCUGAGGUGCGAAAGCGUGGGGAGCAAACAGG
rnacentral:rRNA from 1 species